rnacentral:snRNA from 1 species
AUUCUUGCCCAGAGGCAGAAAGCAAGUCGAUGAGGUUCUUACCGAUGGCUGCUUGUUGCUAAUUGCAAACUAAUAAGCUACACUGUGACGCUUUCACGAGCUAAACGAAUAUUUGUCACCCAUUGUGGG